GACGAACGCUGGCGGCGUGCUUAACACAUGCAAGUGGAGCGACGAACCAGGCUUCGGCCUGGGGCAGAGCCGCGAACGGGUGAGUAACACGUGGGUAACCUGCCCCGAUGACCGGGACAACCCGAGGAAACUCGGGCUAAUACCGGAUAGGUCCGCCCCGCAUAGGCGGGACGGGCGAAAGGUAAGGCUUCGGCCUCCGCAUCGGGAGUGGGCCCGGCCGGCCCACUUAGCUUGUUGGUGAGGUAACGGCUCACCAAGG
rnacentral:rRNA from 1 species